ensembl:lncRNA
CAUUAAUCAGAGGCUGUAAUUACUGAGGAUACUGGUCCCUCUGGAAAAUAAGCAGUGCUCUGAAGGAAGAGAUAAUGGAACAACUUAUAAUCACUAUAUGGUGAGACACAUCCCCUUUAGCAAGGUGGAAAACACCCGGGUACUGCCUUCCGCUCAAAUAUUUCCUGGUUGACUGUUUCUCGGAGCUCCAUCUCAGAGACUUUACACCGUGAGAAGAUGAUACCGUUGCCUAGCGCUUAAGGGUGAGUCUUUCCUGCUUUAUCAUUUCAAAUUUUCAAAGCUCUGAUGAGAACUCAGCCCUUUUAGACUGCUAUGCUUACGCACUGAGUCAUGUCUGACUCUUUGGGACCCCACGGACUGCAACCUGCCAGGCUUCUGCAUUCAUGGAACUUCCCAGGUAAGAAAGAACUCUCCCUGCCUGAUGGUCUUCAAGCUGGACAUUGCUUUGCUUUCGUCUUUUCCUCCCUGCCUUCUGACUUGAACUGGAACAUUGACUUUUCUUGGGUUUUUAGCCUGCUGACCUUUGGACUGGAGCUAUACCAUUGUUUCUCCUCGGUCUCCAACUUGCCAAUUGUAAAUCUUGGAAUUUUUAGCCUUCAUAAUUUCACAAGCCAAUUCCUCAACCAGGCAGGAAGGACCAGUCUCUUCCUUUCUCUCUCUCUUUACCAGAUGAAUCAAGUUGAAAGAGUGAAACCAUUUUGAACAAUAAAUAGACCUACACAUAACCCCAUUGUGUCAAUAGUUCUCUGAAACACAUCAAAAACGACUACCUACUUUAGGUUGGUAUCCAAAUCAAGCUCUCAAUAAACACACUCAACUAUUGCCGUCAUUUUGCAAGGACAAAAUAAUGUUAUGGAUGGAAUUAGACAUAGAAACAUUGCUUUCAGACAAAAGAGCAUGAUCUUCUUUACUGAUUAAAUGGUGUUCUCUGUUUUUGACAUGUACAUAUACACGUAUAUUUAUG